CUGUGCCUCCUGGUUGUCAAGUGUUCACCUGGACCUUCUGACUGCGUUCCUUGUGCUGUUCCAUCAGCCUACAUCUGGUACCUGGAUUUUUCCCCAUGGUGAUUCAUACCACCUUACUACUGAAGAAGACACCAUUCCAGUGGACCACUGUGACCCAAGAGGCAUCCAGCGAAUCAUCAUGAUGUGGCCUUCACCUCCACUCCUGUGUUGUUCUACCCAGAUUCAGCAUUGCCCUUUU
rfam:Camelus ferus unplaced genomic scaffold scaffold852, whole genome shotgun sequence.